rnacentral:rRNA from 1 species
GAUGAACGCUGGCGGCGUGCCUAAUACAUGCAAGUCGAGCGAAGCGGGGACGGGUGAGUAACACGUGGAUAACCUCCUAUAAGACUGGGAUAACUUCGUGAAACCGGAGCUAAACCGGAUACUUAUACCUGGAUCCGGGCUGGAUUAGCUAGUUGGUAAGGUAACGGCUUACCAAGUCCACGAUGCAUAGCCGACCUGAGAGGGUGAUCGGCCACACUGGAACUGAGACACGGUCCAGACUCCUACGGGAGGCAGCAGGAGGGAAUCUUCCGCAAUGGGCGAAAGCCUGACGGAGCAACGCCGCGUGAGUGAUGAAGGUCUUCGGAUCGUAAAACUCUGUUAUUAGGGAGGCGGUACCUAAUCAGAAAGCAACGGCUAACUACGUGCCAGCAGCCGCGGUAAUUC